rnacentral:pre_miRNA from 1 species
AAUGAAAUUGCUGGGUUAGAUGACAACUCUGUGUUUAAUAAUUUGAAGAAACAGCAAACUGUUUUUGUAACAUAGCUGCACUAUUUUGCAUUCCCAUCAGCAAU